UACGUAGGGACCAAGCGUUGUCCGGAAUCAUUGGGCGUAAAGAGCGUGUAGGCGGCUUGUUAAGUCUUGCGUGAAAUCUCGGGGCUCAACCCCGAGCGGUCGUGAGAAACUGGCAGGCUAGAGUGCGGGAGAGGGAUGCAGAAUUCCAGGUGUAGCGGUGAAAUGCGUAGAUAUCUGGAGGAAUACCGGUGGCGAAGGCGGCAUCCUGGACCGGCAUUGACGCUGAUGAGCGAAAGCUAGGGGAGCAAACAGG
rnacentral:rRNA from 1 species